AGUGCCAUGUUCCUUCACCGAAGUUAAUGCGUUUUCCCUGAAAGUUUGCUGAGGACAAGAGGUAUUGUGUCAAAUUCCUUCUCUGAAUAAGGAGGCUUCAUUCAUCACACAGAAAGGGAAGGCUGUAUAAACAUAGAUGUAGGAGACAGUCCCACCUUGGUCUCCACAGUACACCUGUUUACCUGGAAGAACUGCUGUGUGCAGAGAAGGCUGUGACAGCUAGAAGAGGCCUCAAAAGAGUAUCUAAUAUGCACUUGUGAGUGUACAUUUGAAGCAGAACCAUCAAGAAGCAGCGGGAGAAAGUGGAAUAUGCGUGCUGAAAACCUGCUACACUACACCAGCUGCUUCAUCCUGAAUACUUAAGUUGACAGGAAAGUCAUCUGAUCCUCAAGCAGGGCCAUCUAGAACAGUUCACCCAGAACCACACAUGGACAGCUUUUGAAGAUCUCCAGAGAGGAAGAACCCAUAAUCUCUCUGAGCACCCCACGCCAGUGUUCUGUCACCCACACAAUAAAGAAGUUUUUCUGAUACUCUAGAAUUUCUGAUGCUAUAGUAUGCAUUUGUCACAUUACUUGCUUGUUCAAACAGAACUUUUUUUCUACUACUAUGCCUCCGUAUCUUUUAUAUAGUCUAUACAGUUUGUACAUCAUGGCAGAUUGUAUCUUAGCGUGUUACUUCCAUUGAUUAGUUUCCAUGGUUGCAAGCAUUAUACAUGGUAGAGCUCAGUAAAUGCAAACCCUUGAAUAGUUCCUUUAAGCUAUAUAUUGCGAGGGGAAGGAGAAGGAAUAAAUCAGUUAGGAUAUCUUCUGUGCCAUCUAUUGUGAUUAAAGUCUUGUUUGCACAAAGUGGUUCAUUAUUUCUUCUGUGAGCCAUGGUUUAGACUUUCUUGUAGAAGGGAGUAUCCAUAAAGAUGGAUCUCCCUCAAAUCUCAGCCAGAACAGGAUCAGUUCAAAUGAUGAAAGCAAGAAUAGUUGUAACACAUGGAAAAACAUCAAAACUCAAAACCAAAAAGUAAUUGAUCCAAAACACCAAGAAUAAUGAUGUUUUCAUUAAAAUGAAAGUAGAACACACAGGUAAAUCCACAGAAUAUAGGAAUAUCUAAUACCAAACAUGCUUGACAUGCUCAACAAGAGACUGCUUUAUUCUUUGAUGGAAAGCUGGGACUGAAUCUGAUAUGUGCAGAAUAAUAGUGGUGGUGAUAAAUGGUUCAAAAGACAUGGAAACCAAAUAUCCUAUAAAUUAAUAUAUAAUUCAAGAAACGAUAUUCACUGAUCAAUUAAAGAGGCUGAUUGCAAAGCGUCUAUAGCAUAUGUGAAAAUGUUUUGAUAAAUACUAUGUACCUCUUUUCAGUUCAUUUGGGCUAGAAGAUUCUCAAAUGGCUUACAACUGAAUAAAGAUGGCAUUAAAAAAG
ensembl:lncRNA